CAGCCGUAAACUAUGCGCGUUAGGUGUAUCGGUGACCACGAGUCACCGAGGUGCCGAAGGGAAACCGUGAAACGUGCCGCCUGGGAAGUACGGUCGCAAGGCUGAAACUUAAAGGAAUUGGCGGGGGAGCACCACAACGAGUGGAGCCUGCGGUUUAAUUGGACUCAACGCCGGGAAGCUCACCGGAUAAGACAGCGGAAUGAUUGCCGGGCUGAAGACUCUGCAUGACUAGCUGAGAGGAGGUGCAUGGCGUAGACGUCU
rnacentral:rRNA from 1 species